AAGAUCUUCCUAACUGAAUUGUUAUCUUUGCUCUUAAAAGUAUAAAUAUACAGACCAUCAACAGCUGUACAAUUCAUAAUUUUAUAUUUACAUACCAUAAGGACAGCUCUGUGAACUCAACAAGAUAUCAACAUGCCUGGAAAGGGAGAUAAGAAGAAAUGUCCAGACCCAUGCCCAAAACCAAAGCCCCAGAAGUGCAAAGACCCUUGCAAGAGUCCUCCACAAUGCCAUAAACCAGCACCAAAAUGCAAAGAUCCCUGCAAGCCCCAAGAUUGUACCCAAGACAAAAAAUGUGUGAAUAAAUGAACUGAAAUACCUACUACACUUACUAUCUACAGUAUCUCAAGACAUCCUUUGCUAGCUCUUAAUGAUAUCAUGUUAUAUUGUGGCUCAUUUUCUGUUGGAAUCUAGUUCUAGAAAACUUGUCCAUGCUUUAUUCUAUGACAUACUGAACAAAUAAUGCCUGAAUAAAUGGAGCUACAGUAUAUACUGA